CAUUUCUAGCUUGCUAGAAGACGACGAGCGGCGGACGGGUGAGUAACGCGUAGAAAUCUACCUAGUAUGGGGGGUAGCCCAGAGAAAUUUGGAUUAAUACCGCAUACGCCCUACGGGGGAAAGCGGGGGAUCUUCGGACCUCGUGCUAUUAGAUGAGUCUGCGUCGGAUUAGCUUGUUGGUGAGGUAAUGGCUCACCAAGGCGACGAUCCGUAGCUGGUCUGAGAGGAUGACCAGCCACACUGGAACUGAGACACGGUCCAGACUCCUACGGGAGGCAGCAGUGGGGAAUAUUGCACAAUGGGCGCAAGCCUGAUGCAGCCAUGCCGCGUGUGUGAAGAAGGCCUUAGGGUUGUAAAGCACUUUCAGCAGUGAGGAAAGGGGUGUCGUUAAUAGCGCCAUCCUGUGACGUUAACUGCAGAAGAAGGACCGGCUAACUCCGUG
rnacentral:rRNA from 1 species